rnacentral:lncRNA from 1 species
GGGUCGAAACAGGAUAAAUACAAUCGAUAUUAUUUUGUUGUUCCGUAGCAACGCACGGGUAUUGAGCUAAUGUUGUUGUACGUGGUAACUAUACAAAUGCGAUAAUUGGAGGCCUCACAAUGUUGUUGUACUGUACGGAUAUUAUUUUGGGGAUGGGUCUUCUUCUACGUGGUAACUCUACUAUGCGAUAGUGUUGUUGUUUAUACAUCGAAAAUGAGGGCACUUCGAUGGCAUCCACUAUGUGGUUACUUUGUUGUAAGUUAUAUAUAGGUCAUAUUUAGUGUCAUCAGAUUUGUACUUUAUUUUGCUGAUAUGGAAGGCACCAAGAAAGCUAUGGAUUGUUAAUGGAGAGCACAUGAUCCUCUGUGAAUCCAUAAUACCUAUUAUUGCGCAAAACAACUGUGAAGUAAACAUUCUUACCCUUGAAAGCUUACCAACAGUCCUUGAAAUGAUAAAGUUACCACGUCUAUUGGAAGUUUUGUACCAGCAAACAGAACCGGAUGGUGUCAUAUGUUUAUAACGGUGAUACUUCAUCGCUAGGUAAGCCAUACACGCUAUUAUUUUUUUCAACAGUAGUUCAUGUGUGUCUAUUUUAUAUUUGAGCAUCAUGACUCCUUAGUGUAGUUCAUCAGUAUAUUUGUAUGUUUACUCACUCAUAGUGUUGGAGAUGAUUGUGAUUUGAUCAUCAUGGUUUACAGGAGAGUAUCACAAUGACCUAUAUUGAAUAAGGAUUUGAAUUUAUUAGUUUCAGUCAAGAAUCACAACAAACAUAUCUACAUCGAGGAUAAGAGUGUCACCGAGCCCUGGCUAGAAAUUAUCCUAAUUUGUGGCAUCUGUUGCAAUUUAUCUAGAAUUGUUUUUCAUGAAAAAGUUCCUAAUUAUGAGGUAAUCUUCAAGUGACCAGUGAGUUAACUAGCUAAUUCCAACAUUAUCUUUAUGUGAAGAAUGCAGAGUGUAUUGCUUUUCCUGUUGCGCCGUAGAGGAAAAAGAAAAAUAUGUAAAUAAUCUGUUUAAGUUUUGAGGGUCACCUGUUUUGUCAUUUUAUUCUAUUAUAGGGCAUCUUACCAGCUUAUCUUCUUGAAGUUAAAGACAGAAAUAGAUAGCAUAUUAUCAACUGUAGCACUUGGAUCAACUAUAUUAUAUCCAAACAGUUUUGUUUCAUGAGUGACCAUGCUACGGUCUGAAUUUUGCAGGGAAACUGAAGAAUUGUCAAAAGAUUUACGUUCACGUGCUCUCCUCAUAGUCGGAGCAAGGAACAAAGGAGUUUUUGGAUGAAGCAUUAGUAUUAUAUCCAACAUAAUCCAUCACAACUCCAUAUAUAAUUGUGUUGAGGAAGUCAAACUUUCCGUUUCAUUUGACAUGUAUGUAUAUGCACACGUUUAGAUUUAAGGUGCAUACUUUAUAGAUGCACGCGUUUAGAUUUAAGGUGCAUACUUUAUAGGACAAUAUUGUAUGUAUUUUUUAAUUAUCUCAAAGAAAUCAUUGGCAGUUUGUGCACUCCUUUUAUUGCCGGUUAGCCAAUUUUACUACUUGAGUGAAAAAUUCUUGAGCCAUCCCCAUAAGUGAUCACAUAUGUGAGUCCAUUGUAAUAUUACACUCAUAUAUCAACAACCAAUGAAUGAAAUUACAUUCUAUAUUUGGAUCCAA